AAAGCAUGAUAUGGGUAUUUUUUGAGUAUCUCCUUAUAUCUUUUCUAUGCUUCAUAAAGUGAUUCAUCAUCCUUCUGGAAGAAGGAAUUUAUGUCAUUCCUCAAUCG